UACGGGGGGAGCAAGCGUUGUUCGGAUUUACUGGGCGUAAAGGGCUUGUAGGCGGUCCGUUAAGUCCGAUGUGAAAUCUCCCGGCUCAACUGGGAGAGGUCAUUGGAUACUGGCGGACUAGAGGGGGGUAGAGGAAAGCAGAAUUCCUGGUGUAGCGGUGAAAUGCGUAGAUAUCAGGAGGAAUACCAGUGGCGAAGGCGGCUUUCUGGGCCUACCCUGACGCUGAGGAGCGAAAGCGUGGGGAGCAAACCGG
rnacentral:rRNA from 1 species